rnacentral:rRNA from 1 species
CACGGGGGGAGCAAGCGUUGUUCGGAAUUACUGGGCGUAAAGGGCGCGUAGGCGGCCGAUCAAGUCAGAUGUGAAAGUCCUGGGCUUAACCUGGGGACUGCAUUUGAUACUGAUUGGCUUGAAUUCGGGAGAGGAUAGCGGAAUUCCCAGUGUAGAGGUGAAAUUCGUAGAUAUUGGGAAGAACACCGGUGGCGAAGGCGGCUAUCUGGACCGACAUUGACGCUGAGGCGCGAAAGCGUGGGGAGCAAACAGG